GGCAGGACCCCCCUCGCGGAGCUUUGGCAGCGCCAUGAUUGUCAGGGGCGGGCGGACUUCCCCUGAGCCUGUCCUCGGCGCCAUAAUUAUGAGGGGCAAACGCACUUCCUGUGAGCCGGUCAUCGGCACCAUAAUUUGGGGCGGGGGCACGCGCAUCAACUAAGCCGUUCGUCGGCGCCAUGGUUGUGAGGGGCAUACGCACUUCCGUUGUGCUGUCCACUGACGCCAUGACUGUGAGGGGUAGAUACCUUUCCUCAAAGCCGAGGCUGUACUGGUCCGUUAGCGUUAUAGUUAAGGAGACGGGCGCCAGUGUCGCAAAAUCCAGGCUCUGCUCUUUGCCAAUGACGUGAUUGUGAAGGGCAGGUGCUCUCCCAAUGGAUGCCUUCCCUUACAUCCCAGGUUGCGACGUCCACCGGCAUUAUAGUUAUUGGGAUGGGCACCAGCAUUGAAGGCCCGAGACUGUGCCGGUUGUGGUGAUUGUAAGGGGCAGGCGCACUUGCGCAGAAUGGUCCGCGGUGCCAUGAUUGUGAGAGUCAAAUACACUUCCGAAGCGCGUCUCAGACGCCAUGAUCGUGAGGGGCAGGCCGACUUCCCCGAAAGGUCCGCCGUUCCACGACCGUGAGGGGCCAGGCACACUUCCGGAGCGCCGGCCUAGAUGCCAUGAUUGUGAGGGGCGGGCGUACGUCCACGGACUUGUGCCCCCAUGACUGUAAAGGCAGAUACCCGCCUUCAAAACCCAGGUUACACCGUUCGCCAGCACUACAGUUAUGAGGGCGGGCACUAGUGCGGAAAAGCCGAGGCUGUGCAGUUACUGGCACGACUGCGAGGGACAGACGCAUUUUCGCUCCACUGCAACGCCGUGAUUAUGAGGGGCGAAUACACUUUCGGAGCGCCGCCUGCUUCGCCGUGAUUGCGAGAGAUGAAAUGAACCACAGCUGAAGGGCGGCCCCAGAAAAAGAUUCACGAGGGACAAACAGUGGAGAUGAAAUGCAUGAGACAAGAACAUGGGAUAGUCGUCACCGUGGAAAGUGGAGAAUAUCACACAAAACAAUACUAAUUCCUCAAUGAAUCACCAACUGGCCAGGAUUUAUCAUAAUAUAUAACUCUAAUAUGGUAAAAAAAUUGAAAAGGUCUUAAAAUUCCAUAUAACCUCACAAGCAACAGAUCUGGUGUUUGGUCUGAGUUCUUCCAGUAACCUUUCAAACCAGCUCAUUCUGACCACCUCUGGAAUAAGCAGCAUCUUCAACUAUAUAAUCUCCUUUAAAACAACUCCACUGACUGUCACUCACAGCAACUUUCAAAAGAUGACCUUUUAUAUUAUACUCUACAUAUGCAACACCAUGAAUUAAAUUCACUAUAUACAUGCAAAAAGUCAGCAAUCAUUUCAAAGUUAUGAUCAGUAUAUCUCAUCCCCUCUUCAAACUUAGUGAACAAAUAGCAAUGACACAAAAAAAUUUCUUAUGUUGUUCAGUCCCUCCUAAUUUGGAGGAAAUCACUUAGUAAUAAAAACGCUAAUAUAUGCCUAAUUGCAUAUUAAUGGGAAGAUUAGAAUUGAUUAGAGAUUUAAUCUUCAUUGCCUAGCAAUUAAUUUAGGUUUCUUUUAAAUGUUUAGAAAGCAGUGUAGUUAAAGCAAAGCAUUUUGAAAGUAUUUUUAAUGGAUCACAUCAUUUUUGGUGAGCUUAUCAAAGUGUCUUAACAAAGGUACCUACAAAAUAUUAAAACAUUAGCUUAAGAGCUUUGCAUUCGCUUAAUACUGAAUUUGUCUUCUUGCCACCAUAAACAAUUUAAAAUCCAUAAAAUAACAAAAACAAAACUUACCCCCUCCCACCUGGCAUAUUCACAUGUGAUCUUGUGGCCAGAGGGAAAAAUUUUUCAUCACUUUACGUGCAGAUACAAAUAUUCCCGGUGAUACACUUCCCCAAAGCCGAACAAACACGCACAGAUUUAGGCAUCAGAUUAUUAUACUUUACUCAUGUAUAAAAAGGUUUUCUGAAUUAAGCAUGUAUAAUUCUACAAAUUUUUCAGAUUAAAAAAAGUAUAGUGUUUCAUUAUAGAAAUCAAGAUCGGACCCAUAGGUUUACUAUGAUCUCCUGACUGCCACAAAAUACUAACACAAAUGAUCACCCGCAGGAAUGGCUGUGAAUAUGCCCAAAUUACGGUGGCAAGGAAAGACAAGAUAGCGUGGCCUGCAUCACGGGGCAGCCCGUGCACGUCCUUCUAUUGAACGGUCUUCAGGAACUCAUUUGCUACACACCUGAAACAGGCGCUGUGUUAGGCACUCUGCUCUGUGAAGACUUCUGUCUAUUUUGCACAACCCCCUUCACUGAUGUCUUAGGGGUUCUAAUUGAAUAUAAAAAAAUUAAUAAGUCACUUGCAUUAAGGUCUAAAUGUUCAACAUUCAAAGAAAGCAACCAUAGUGCAUCAAUGGUUCCAAGUACAAAUAAGCUUGAAAAGGACUUAAAUCUCACGCAUGCGCACAGAAAGGAAACUACACUCUGCUUCAGCAGGGGACUAGAACCAAGGCUUACACUUUGUUGGGGAAGCACUUUGGUGAUGCUGAACUUACUGUAUGGAUGCUUACAAUACUUAAUGAGCAAAAUGGUAUGAAAUGAAAAGUAAAAACAUGCCAUCAUAAGAUGAUAAUUAAGAUAUAAUACACAACAGUACACCAAAGGGUUAUCUUUGAACACAAAGCGUUAAAAGAUCUUCGUAAUGCUAUGAAUAAGUCACAUUUGUAAAAUAGUUAUCCUUUAUUAAAGAGCACUAAAUUAUGUUUCCCACUCAAAGCUAAUCUUGAUUUGGAUGUUUUUAAAUACCCAGCAGGGACAUUCUUACCCUUGUCUACUAAGUAGCCUGUGAAUGGGUGCAUUCUGUCCUUGGUUUGGCUGAAGGACUCUGUCGACAAAGUAAGUAAAAAAUUAAUUCAAAAGAGAAUGAUAUAAAUUCAGUUCCCCCUCCCAUUUUCUUUUAACAGAUGAAAGAUGAUUAACAAUGAGAUGGAAGUCAUCUAUAAGGAUAGGCCAAUAUAAUAAUACCACAUAGCAAAUCAAACUGAUUGAAGCAUAUUAAUAUGGUACUUAUAUUUUGCUCACCGAGAGCCCAAAUCUUAGGUUUUUAUCAGGAUGUCCAACAUAACUGUUUAACUCUUGUAUUUUUAGGUAAUUUAUUUAUAUACUUUACAAAAACCAACUUUUCCUUUCAAACAUCAAGUAACAUCGCUCUUGUAAAAGUAGAAAACAGGUCAGAAAUAUUAAGCUAGCUUUCUAAGGUUUGUAU